rnacentral:sRNA from 2 species
GAUCAGACAGUGACUCUCAGAACUACCAAUGGAUCACUCAGAGUGCAAGUCUACAUCAAAACCUCAGCUAUGUUAUUUCAUCCACCAUGACAGACCUUAUCAAAUGUCUUAGGUGUGGAGUUUUGUGUUUUACCAUAUUGAAUGUGAGGGCAAGUCGUACGCUUUAAUGCUGGUAUGUUGGCUACUUUUUCUUUAUCCAAAUUAACUCAGAUUGUGAUCUGUUUGCUAUAUCCUGGUUACAUACCACAAACACAUUUGUCCUGCAUUUCUCAGCUAGGCACUGGCCAUACCCAGGGAGGGAUUUCUCAUGCAAACUCAAAAAACAUGAGAGGAUACUGACAACUCCUUUCAUUCAUGAGGCCUGUGCUUUUUCUUGUCUUGACAGCAUUGGGGACAACAGCACAUGAGAAGUAAAAUGUCAUGAGUGCAUUAAGCUUGAUAACAAUCAGUUCAAAGGCUUAGACAACAAGGAUCACAUAUUCUGUCAAUGAGCAAUCAUCAAGGAUUUUCUUCCUGAGAAAAUCAGCAUAAGUGAUAUCUCUGAAGUACAUCACAAAAUACAAAUAGCUUGUAGUGCUAUGCUAUGUGGCCUGAUGAUGUCAAAUCCAAGAACUGUAGUGGCUCAUUCAUUGUGGAUUUGGGUAGCACAGCCACUUACCCUGAAAUCCAUUGUUUCUGGUUGAGUACAAGACGCAGGUAGCGCUUUGCUGAUAUAGAUCAAUGUUUUAUGGAUUGGGAGCCAUCUGAUUGGGACAGUGAACUUGUGGAUAAGUUUUUCAAUGACAUGCAUAAGGAAAAUGUGGCAAUUUCAAAAAAAAAAAAAAAAAAGAAAAAAAUGGAGGAGAGGGCGUUGAGGAAGGAGCAGGAAUAGCAGAAAGAGCGAUUUGCAAAGAGAGAACCCCAGCGACCAAACCCUAAUUGGGAAGAAUUCAACAUUUACCCAAGGGGUCGGUUGACUACGAUUUCAAUAUUCUUGAGUUGAUUUUAGCAAAAGGGUUUUUUUUUUUUUUUCAAUUGACAUCUAUUUAGUUUGUUUUAUAUGCGUCAGCUUUUAAAUUGAU